AUUGAACGCUGGCGGCAGGCCUAACACAUGCAAGUCGAGCGGUAGCACAGAGAGCUUGCUCUCGGGUGACGAGCGGCGGACGGGUGAGUAAUGUCUGGGAAACUGCCUGAUGGAGGGGGAUAACUACUGGAAACGGUAGCUAAUACCGCAUAAUGUCGCAAGACCAAAGUGGGGGACCUUCGGGCCUCAUGCCAUCAGAUGUGCCCAGAUGGGAUUAGCUAGUAGGUGGGGUAACGGCUCACCUAGGCGACGAUCCCUAGCUGGUCUGAGAGGAUGACCAGCCACACUGGAACUGAGACACGGUCCAGACUCCUACGGGAGGCAGCAGUGGGGAAUAUUGCACAAUGGGCGCAAGCCUGAUGCAGCCAUGCCGCGUGUAUGAAGAAGGCCUUCGGGUUGUAAAGUACUUUCAGCGGGGAGGAAGGCGGUGAGGUUAAUAACCUCACCGAUUGACGUUACCCGCAGAAGAAGCACCGGCUAACUCCGUGCCAGCAGCCGCGGUAAUACGGAGGGUGCAAGCGUUAAUCGGAAUUACUGGGCGUAAAGCGCACGCAGGCGGUCUGUCAAGUCGGAUGUGAAAUCCCCGGGCUCAACCUGGGAACUGCAUUCGAAACUGGCAGGCUAGAGUCUUGUAGAGGGGGGUAGAAUUCCAGGUGUAGCGGUGAAAUGCGUAGAGAUCUGGAGGAAUACCGGUGGCGAAGGCGGCCCCCUGGACAAAGACUGACGCUCAGGUGCGAAAGCGUGGGGAGCAAACAGGAUUAGAUACCCUGGUAGUCCACGCCGUAAACGAUGUCGACUUGGAGGUUGUGCCCUUGAGGCGUGGCUUCCGGAGCUAACGCGUUAAGUCGACCGCCUGGGGAGUACGGCCGCAAGGUUAAAACUCAAAUGAAUUGACGGGGGCCCGCACAAGCGGUGGAGCAUGUGGUUUAAUUCGAUGCAACGCGAAGAACCUUACCUACUCUUGACAUCCAGAGAACUUAGCAGAGAUGCUUUGGUGCCUUCGGGAACUCUGAGACAGGUGCUGCAUGGCUGUCGUCAGCUCGUGUUGUGAAAUGUUGGGUUAAGUCCCGCAACGAGCGCAACCCUUAUCCUUUGUUGCCAGCGGUCCGGCCGGGAACUCAAAGGAGACUGCCAGUGAUAAACUGGAGGAAGGUGGGGAUGACGUCAAGUCAUCAUGGCCCUUACGAGUAGGGCUACACACGUGCUACAAUGGCGCAUACAAAGAGAAGCGACCUCGCGAGAGCAAGCGGACCUCAUAAAGUGCGUCGUAGUCCGGAUUGGAGUCUGCAACUCGACUCCAUGAAGUCGGAAUCGCUAGUAAUCGUAGAUCAGAAUGCUACGGUGAAUACGUUCCCGGGCCUUGUACACACCGCCCGUCACACCAUGGGAGUGGGUUGCAAAAGAAGCAGGUAGCUUAACCUUCGGGAGGGCGCUUACCACUUUGUGAUUCAUGACUGGGGUG
rnacentral:rRNA from 1 species